rnacentral:rRNA from 1 species
AUUAGAGUUUGAUCAUGGCUCAAAUUGAACGCUGGCGGCAUGCCUUACACAUGCAAGUCGAACGGCAGCACGGGGGCAACCCUGGUGGCGAGUGGCGAACGGGUGAGUAAUACAUCGGAACGUGUCCUGUAGUGGGGGAUAGCCCGGCGAAAGCCGGAUUAAUACCGCAUACGAUCUGUGGAUGAAAGCGGGGGAUCUUCGGACCUCGCGCUACAGGGGCGGCCGAUGGCAGAUUAGCUAGUUGGUGGGGUAAAGGCCUACCUAGGCGACGAUCUGUAGCUGGUCUGAGAGGACGACCAGCCACACUGGGACUGAGACACGGCCCAGACUCCUACGGGAGGCAGCAGUGGGGAAUUUUGGACAAUGGGCGCAAGCCUGAUCCAGCAAUGCCGCGUGUGUGAAGAAGGCCUUCGGGUUGUAAAGCACUUUUGUCCGGAAAGAAAACCUCUUGGUUAAUACCUGAGGGGGAUGACGGUACCGGAAGAAUAAGCACCGGCUAACUACGUGCCAGCAGCCGCGGUAAUACGUAGGGUGCAAGCGUUAAUCGGAAUUACUGGGCGUAAAGCGUGCGCAGGCGGUUCGCUAAGACAGAUGUGAAAUCCCCGGGCUUAACCUGGGAACUGCAUUUGUGACUGGCGGGCUAGAGUAUGGCAGAGGGGGGUAGAAUUCCACGUGUAGCAGUGAAAUGCGUAGAGAUGUGGAGGAAUACCGAUGGCGAAGGCAGCCCCCUGGGCCAAUACUGACGCUCAUGCACGAAAGCGUGGGGAGCAAGCAGGAUUAGAUACCCUGGUAGUCCACGCCCUAAACGAUGUCAACUAGUUGUCGGGUCUUCAUUGACUUGGUAACGUAGCUAACGCGUGAAGUUGACC